rnacentral:rRNA from 1 species
GACGAACGCUGGCGGCGUGCUUAACACAUGCAAGUCGAACGGUGAACUCCGCUUGCGGGGGGCUCAGUGGCGAACGGGUGAGUAACACGUGGGCAACCUGCCCUCAGCUCUGGGAUAACUCCAAGAAAUUGGGGCUAAUACCGGAUAUGACCGCUGACCGCAUGGUCUGGUGGUGGAAAGAUUUAUCGGCUGGGGAUGGGCCCGCGGCCUAUCAGCUUGUUGGUGGGGUAGUGGCCUACCAAGGCGACGACGGGUAGCCGGCCUGAGAGGGUGACCGGCCACACUGGGACUGAGACACGGCCCAGACUCCUACGGGAGGCAGCAGUGGGGAAUAUUGCGCAAUGGGCGAAAGCCUGACGCAGCGACGCCGCGUGGGGGAUGACGGCCUUCGGGUUGUAAACCUCUUUCAGCAGGGACGAAGCGAAAGUGACGGUACCUGCAGAAGAAGCACCGGCCAACUACGUG